CCUACGGGAGGCAGCAGUGGGGAAGUUUUGGUACAAUGGGCGGCAAGCCUGAUCCAGCAAUGCCGCGUGAGUGAAGAAGGCCUUCGGGUUGUAAAGCUCUUUUGUCAGGGAAGAAACGGUGGAGGCUAAUAUCCUUUGCUAAUGACGGUACCUGAAGAAUAAGCACCGGCUAACUACGUGCCAGCAGCCGCGGUAAUACGUAGGGUGCAAGCGUUAAUCGGAAUUACUGGGCGUAAAGCGUGCGCAGGCGGUUUUGUAAGUUUGUCCGUGAAAUCCCCGGGNUCAACCUGGGAAUGGCG
rnacentral:rRNA from 1 species